GGAGCCUCCAGCAAGUCAUCAAUUACAGUUCAGAUUUCCAGAUCCAGACACUGGUUCCUGCAGUUCAGAUUUCCCUACCCAGACACUGGUUCCUGCAGAAGUUUUAACUUGUGCGCUUCUGUUCCAGGAAGUUGUGAUUCUUAUUAUUCUCCUGCUGAUCUCUCUAAUUUGGGAAGCAGAGGUCACAGUAAAAGGGAAAACACUUAUGGAUAUGGAGAUGCCACAAAAUUAGAGUAUUUGGGAUCGAAACCAUCACCUCACCUGCCUGGACUCAUAAUGAGCAAUACUCUGGGAUCUUUUGAUAUUUGUGGAUUACAUGUUACUGAAAGCCAAUUUACCUAAUUCUGAAUAAUACCAAUGCUUAUUUCGAGUCUCUGUACAGCUGGCUCCCCUUUGUCUUCUGACAUGAGUGGAAGCAGCCUCAGUCCCUCAGCGAAUGCCCAGUCAUGAACCUUCCAGCCACAGAAUGGCAUGUCUCUAAACUGGCUACAGAACAACAUUCUGCGGAAAGACAGAGAGGAAAAAAAAAAACGAACAUUACAGCGAAAAGAGCGGCAAGAAAUAUCAAGCAAAAAUCAAAAGAAUAAGAUUCCUUUUCAUCAAGUCUAAAAUUGAUGAAAUUAUUUUAUUUGGGUCACAGACACCAACAACAAAAACUUUCCAUUACUCACUGCAUAUUUUGAAAUAUUACUUAGACUUCAAUACUAACUUAAAUACUUAAAUUCUUCCCAGUUGUCUGUGACAAUGCUCCAUAAGUUGUACACAGUUAUUGCUUAAUAGAAGUAAUACAUCUAAAAUCUAAAAUUAAUGAACAUUUUGAAAGUCCAUAUUACUUCAGUAGAAAAUCUCCAAAUUCUUCCACAACUGAUUGCCAAUGCACACUUCAUAUUGC